rfam:Stegodyphus mimosarum contig120152, whole genome shotgun sequence.
GCCUUCGUGGUGUAGUGGUCAGCCCGCUCAACUCGUAAACGAGAGGUCCGUAGUUCGAUUCCCGGCGAAGGCG